CGGACGGGUGAGUAACACGUGGAUAACCUACCUAUAAGACUGGGAUAACUUCGGGAAACCGGAGCUAAUACCGGAUAAUAUAUUGAACCGCAUGGUUCAAUAGUGAAAGACGGUUUUGCUGUCACUUAUAGAUGGAUCCGCGCCGCAUUAGCUAGUUGGUAAGGUAACGGCUUACCAAGGCAGCGAUGCGUAGCCGACCUGAGAGGGUGAUCGGCCACACUGGAACUGAGACACGGUCCAAACUCCUACGGGAGGCAGCAGAU
rnacentral:rRNA from 1 species